UCUCUGUGACAUCAGCUCAGAAUCCCAACCUCACUUUGCAGUUGAGGCCAACUCCAGUCUAGGCUCAACAGCCUUUGGGUGGCUUAGCUGUGACAGAAUCGGAAAAACUGGGGCUUCAAAUUUAUUUUAAAAAUCACGACAGAUUAGAGAGCGAGAAAGCGGGAGUGACAAUCAGCAAAGUCUGAAGAUUAACGUCUGGGAAAAUGUCAUCCUCUGAGGACAGAGAUCCCUACAACAAAAUGGCUGGCAAGGAGGACGAGUCAAAGGAAGAGCCAGGCAGCCCCCUGGAGGAGGAAGGUGAAGUUGCCGUGAUCUUCGUCAGAGUGCUCCCUUGUCUACAUCUGACAGUUUGGGGGACUCCCUCAAUGAGCUCACAGCUCCCAAAGUGGAGUCCAGAGGCAAAGCAAGAUGUGGAAUGACAACCCAACAAAGUGUUAAAGGGGCUGUGAUGAACACAGCUAUGCUGUAGCAAAGAAGCUUGGAAAGAAUUAAAAGCUGAGCGCAAGCUGGAAGGUUUCAAUAGCAGCAUUUUGAAUUUUGGAAAACCCAGUAGUAUUUUAAGAUAUGACAGCAAUAAAAAGUUCCUGACACCUGGAUAUAACAUGAUUACAAACUGGUAUUGGCAAAUAACUUUGAUAUGUUCAUAAUUGUUGUUUAUAUUUCUGUCUUUGAAAUGUAAGUAUACAGACAAUACUCACUUUUAAUU